CUUGGGCGAAAGAGGGGCACAGUGACUUGAAGAACAUCGAUCGUUCAGCUAAACGGCAAAAGCAGGGAGCACAUACGAUUCAAGCUUCUGGGAAAAAGCUGCAUCGAUCAUGGCGAAGGUUUGCGUAUUCAACGAGGAAGUGAGAAGAAACAGGGAUGUUCUCAAGCAGUUUAUCAACACCACAGAGUUUUUGGGCAUGCAAUAAUUGGCUUUAAGAGGACACGACGUAGGAAAGUUCUGCUAACAAGUGCAACCACAAUGAGCUUGUAGCGCUAAGUCCCCUCCUGUUCCCUGAUUUAAGAAGUGAUGACCAUUCAAAUCCACUACCAUUGUCAACUCUCUCCUGACAUGAACUGAAGCCACGUCUCAUGUGCCCGAUCAUCCACUGUUACAUUUAAUGUGUCCUCUUUAAGCACUUCAUGUCCUGUACCGCACUGAAGUCAAGCCUCUGAACAGCUCAACUCAUUCCUCAUACCCUCAUUCAAUCACUGCUGUGAUCCCUUCCUAAAACGGUG